CCUACGGGAGGCAGCAGUGGGGAAUAUUGCGCAAUGGGGGAAACCCUGACGCAGCGACGCCGCGUGGGUGAUGAAGGCCUUCGGGUCGUAAAGCCCUGUCGUAGGGGAAGAACCGGAGCACGGCUAAUAUCCGUGCUCCCUGACGGUACCCUACAAGAAAGCACCGGCUAACUCCGUGCCAGCAGCCGCGGUAAUACGGAGGGUGCAAGCGUUGUUCGGAAUCACUGGGCGUAAAGCGCGUGCAGGCGGUCGACUAAGUCUGGUGUGAAAGCCCGGGGCUCACCCCCGGAAGUGCGCUGGAAACUGGUCAACUAGAGUACGGGAGAGGGAAGUGGAAUUCCUGGUGUAGCGGUGAAAUGCGUAGAUAUCAGGAGGAACACCGGCGGCGAAGGCGGCUUCCUGGACCGAUACUGACGCUGAGACGCGAAAGCGUGGGGAGCAAACAGGAUUAGAUACCCUGGUAGUCCACGCUGUAAACGAUGGGUACUAGGUGCUGGGGGUGUUGACCCCUCCGGUGCCGCAGCUAACGCAUUAAGUACCCCGCCUGGGGACUACGGUCGCAAGAUUAAAACUCAAAGGAAUUGACGGAAUCGUCGACUGCAGGACACU
rnacentral:rRNA from 1 species